rnacentral:rRNA from 1 species
UACGUAGGGGCAAGCGUUAUCCGGAUUUACUGGGUGUAAAGGGAGCGUAGACGGCAAUGCAAGUCUGGAGUGAAAACCCACAGCUCAACUGUGGGAUUGCUUUGGAAACUGUAUAGCUAGAGUGCAGGAGAGGUAAGUGGAAUUCCUAGUGUAGCGGUGAAAUGCGUAGAUAUUAGGAGGAACACCAGUGGCGAAGGCGGCUUACUGGACUGUAACUGACGUUGAGGCUCGAAAGCGUGGGGAGCAAACAGGAUUAGAUACCCUGGUA